UUGAAACUCUGAAAAUAAAUACAUGGUCAAAUGUUACCAAACAUGAUAAUAAUAGGCCUUUAUUACAGUAGGCAGCUAAUUGUUAAAUUACACUUUCCAUCUUUACCUUGGAAGGUCACCGUCUCUGCGCUGAUCGCAUGUGAGUGAGACAACGCUAGCUAGCCAAUGGGAGUGUAGUAGAACGUCCGUCUGAAUAACGGGGAGUGGUUUUGGCUUAACUGCGUUGGGAAAAAGAAAGACACCCAUCAGACACAUGAAGAAAUGGUUAAAAAUGGGAACGCUUCGACGACCACCUGUCACGAUUCUUUAAAGCUGAACCCAGAAGCAGACCAGGACAAGGUGAGUAAAAUGAAGGUGAGUAUUUAUUUACAGUCUCGAGGUGAAAAAUAGAAUAAUCCAGGAGACGGAGCGGCAGCGGAGGUGAGUUGAUGAGAGUGAAUAGGCAGAUCCAAUGAUGUCACUGAAACCACCGACGGCCAGGCAGGGGAGUUGAAUGUUCCGGGAGGAUGACUGUAGACAGAGUAAACGGGGGUGAGUAACAGAAAAAAAGUACAGAACAACAAACCUAACUCUGGUAACAUGAUGCUGACACAACAUACUGUUCAUUGCUAACGAUCCGGCAGGGAAUGGAUGUCAGGGCUUAUGAAGAGAAGAGGUGAUGAUCAGGACCAGGUGUGCUGAUGAGAUGCAGGUGCGGGUAAUCAAGAGUUCUCCCGCCUAGCUUCGUCGCCUGGCAACCAGACAAGGGGUUCGAGCCUGACUGCAGUGCUGGGGAUGAGGACAGGGAGCCCCAGAUCUCUGACCAGGCCCAGCUCCUCAAGCAGAGGGCCCUGAAGAAGAUCCCCCAAAAGCAGAGGAGGAUACUGGUCCAGUCCUACACCUCUGUCUCCAGCCAGCACAUCCCACAGAGAGGAGAGAUCGCUGUGAGGUUCCACAACUCCUCACACUCUGUGCAUACUGUACCAACCGCUACAGCCCCACCGCUAAAUACAUUGUCACUGUGGAGAUCAUGCAGAAGGAUACAACUCUAAUGCAUGGCUAACAGUGUCAACUAGCAGCAAUUUAAUAUUAGAGUACAACAAGGCUGUGAUUCAAACAUUGCAACAUCAUUUGUAGAGCUUUAUACAAUAAUAGCAAGUGCAUUUAGGUGUGUCGAAGUUCCAGUGUACUUAUAUGAUGUGUGUUUAACAGAGGUGUGUACUCGAGUCACAUGACUUGGACUCGAGUCACAAAUAUGAUGACUUGCAACUCGACUUUCACUUUACACCAAUGACUCGUGACUUAACUUGGACUUGAGCCUUUUGACUCAAACUGACUUGAUACUGUCCCCAAGCCCAAAUGUAAAAAAUGAUGCUAUUAAAAAAAGUGUGCAGCGCAUCAACUCUUAAUUUAAUGGAUUACAGUUUGAAUCGGACAGCAGCCAAUCAAAUUGUGCCAGCUGAGAAAAGGUUGCGCGUGGCAGUGCAGAGGAACGUCGGCGAGUGAAUUCAGAUGGAGCCCUUGGAAAGAUGAUACCCAAAAUUAUUAUUAUUUCGGAUAUAAAGACUAUGCUGUAUCAACAAAAAACGGAUUGCAACUUGCAAAACAUGCGGGAAGAAAAUUACAGACGGAGGCGCAACAACUUCCAACUUUGUUCGAC
rnacentral:lncRNA from 1 species